CUGUGGGCGCGAGGGGGGAGAGGAGAAGAGUGGGGAAGAGAGGGGGGGAAGAGAGAGAGAGAGAGAGAGAGAGAGAGAGAGAGAGAGAGAGAGAGAAGGAGGGGAACAACAACAACAACAAAAAAGUGGAAAGAGGGCGGGGGACCCCCUUGUGUAGAGCAGAGCGUUCUGCACCAGCAGCCUUCGACAGCCUCGGUUGCUUUCCUGAGGCCAAGUCCGGCGGGGUCCAAAGAGAUAAUCCACACCAAAAAAUAAAAUUAAAAGUCACCCUAUGUUCAAGUCAGGAGAAAAAAAUCCCUUCCAGCUCUCCAAAAGCGUCCACGCGCACACACUAAAAAUAAUAAUAAGGGGGAGAGAGGAAAAG